ACAAACUUGGUCAUUUAGAGGAAGUAAAAGUCGUAACAAGGUUUCCGUAGGUGAACCUGCGGAAGGAUCAUUACAGUGGUUUAUUCGACGCCCGGAAGCGGGGAAGACGUCGGUUACCUGACCUUUGUCAUGUGCGAGAGGGGCGAGCUUUUGGCGAGCGAUCGCGAGAGAAAGCCCCUGACAAGAUUUCCCAGGAGGAGUUGCGGAAGCGACCGCCUGGGGCAGUUUUUUAACAAUACUUGCGAAACGGUGUGAAGUCUGAAUGAGAAGUACAAUUAAAGCAAAACUUUCAACAACGGAUCUCUUGGCUCUGGCAUCGAUGAAGAACGCAGC
rnacentral:misc_RNA from 1 species